rnacentral:rRNA from 1 species
GAUGAACGCUAGCGGCAGGCCUAAUACAUGCAAGUCGAACGGAAGACCUUCGGGUCAUUAGUGGCGCACGGGUGCGUAACGCGUAAGCAACCUACCUACUACUGGGGGAUAGCCCUGGGAAACCGGGAGUAAACCCGCAUGGUAUCACUGACCUUCCUGGGUUGAUGAUUAAAGAUUUAUUGGUAGUAGAUGGGCUUGCGUUGGAUUAGCUAGAUGGCGGGGUAACGGCCCACCAUGGCGAUGAUCCAUAGGGGCUCUGAGAGGAGCGGCCCCCACACUGGCACUGAGACACGGGCCAGACUCCUACGGGAGGCAGCAGUAGGGAAUAUUGGGCAAUGGACGAAAGUCUGACCCAGCCAUGCCGCGUGCAGGAUGAAGGCGCUCAGCGUUGUAAACUGCUUUUGAUAGGGAAGAACGGCCUUCUUGCGAGAAGGUGUGACGGUACCUACAGAAUAAGCACCGGCUAACUCCGUGCCAGCCGCCGCGGUAAUAC